UUUAGGGUUUCUCUGAAGUCGCUGCUUGAAAGGUUUGAUUCCUUGCCCCUCGUCUUGCUUGAAACCAUCGUGAAGAAUUGCGAGAAGGGUUUCUCUGAAGUCGCUGCUGAGAGGGUUCUUGAUGAUAUGGUUAGGUUAAUUGACGAUCCUCAAACAGUUUUAAUAACCGCAACAAGGCUUUGAUCAUGAUUGAGGCUUGAGGCGAAUCCACCAUCGAGCUUCACUAUCUCCCUGUUUAUGAAGAAACUUACAAGAGUCUGAAAUCAAGGGGUAUUCAGUUCCCUGGCCGUCACAACGAGAGCUUGGCGCCUAUUUUCAGUGUCUGAGGUUGAACUUGAUCUUUCAUGCCAGACUCAGCAUGAUGAUAUUCCUGUGCAGAGUUUUACUCCUGAACAAACUAAGGAAGCUUUUGAUGUUGCUAGAAACAGCAUUGAGCUUCUUUCUACUGUGUUGUCUUCUCCACAACAAGAUCUCUUGCAGGUAAAGAGUGUUGGUGUUCUGAUCUAGCUU